rnacentral:rRNA from 1 species
UACGUAGGGGGCAAGCGUUGUCCGGAAUUAUUGGGCGUAAAGAGCGUGUAGGCGGCCAGAUAAGUCCGCUGUGAAAUCUCGAGGCUCAACUUCGAGCUGUCGGUGGAAACUAUCUGGCUAGAGUCCGGAAGAGGAGAAUGGAAUUCCUGGUGUAGCGGUGAAAUGCGCAGAUAUCAGGAAGAACACCCGUGGCUAAGGCGGCUCUCUAGUACGGUACUGACGCUGAGACGCGAAAGCGUGGGGAGCGAACAGG